UGUUCAGGGGAGAGGGUAGGCAGCAUCAAGAAAAGCUUCCAAGGGGAAGGAAUAUCUACAGUGAGAUUGAAAGAGAAAGAGACAGACCAAGAGCAAAGGGAAGAGCAGAAGGACGGACAAGCAAACUCUACACUGAGCUCAAGCCUCAUGGGAGGCUCAGUCUCAUGACCCUGAGAUCGUGACCUGAGCCGAAACCAAGAGUCAAGGAUGCUUAACUGACUGAGCUACCCAAGCAUCUUGUUUUCCACUUUGGUUGGCAUAGGCUCAUAACAAAACUAUUAACCUGUCUUUUCAGAAAUACAAAUUUUUGAGGUGAAAAAAAAAAAUCUCCUCACCUAAAUGGUAAAUUAAAAAACUUGUAAGAUUAAGCCAUGGAAG